rnacentral:lncRNA from 1 species
AACCUUUAUAAGUAGAUUUAUCAAGACUGAUUCCUUUUUAAUAGAAUAGAUUAAAAAGUAUUCUCUCCGUUCCUAAAAGAUCCAUAUUGUAGAGACAACUUUUGUUUCAAAAAGAUACAUAUUUUAUAUUUCCAAUGUAAAUUUUGUCAACUAAUGAUGAGAAAUUUUGAAGUUCAAGAACAUUAAUUGAAUUUCUUAAAAUCUUAUUGGUUUAAAAAUAUAAGAAAUAUAAAAUUACAAAAAACUAUGCAUUUAUAACUAAGUUAAUAUGUUUUAUUAAUAAGUGUGAAAAUUCUAAAAUAAGGAUCUUUUAAGAACGGAUGGAAUAUUUAGUUUACACUUAUUAAAAGUAAUAUUAACUUUCACUAUUUAUGUUUUUUUUGUCAACUUUUAUAUUUUGUUAUUCUUAUUAGAUUAUAUAUUUAUUUUAUCAUUAAUUAAAAUUAGUUUUAUGUAUAUGUAAUAGAUGUAUUUUUCUACAUUUUUCUAAAAGAACAAUCAUUCAUUUCUUUCUUCCCC